rnacentral:lncRNA from 1 species
UCGGAAUCAGAUGAGUCCAUGAACUGGCAGCAGUCAGGGCAGUGAUGACAUCACAGAAGGAGGAUGGGCCUUAGACAGACAUCACUCUUUAGAAUCCCUGCAACUUUGAGCAAGUUCGUGAAUCUCACUAAGGCUCAGUUUCCUCCAUAAAAUUAAUCAAUAUCAGGGCCUCUGCAUUGGACAACUCCAGAGGGCACCAUUGGGGUUAUACCUUGUGUUUGCCUAACCUUCAUUGCAGUGGGCAGGUGCAUGCUUUCUACAAUGUCCUAAGGUCUAAAGGGGUAGAGUUCUGUGUGUGGCAUUUUAGGCCUGGAAAGGAUGAGAGUCUACAAAACCAGAGAAAUACUGCAGCCAUUGGUAAGAAGCACACAUGACAACCUGGACUUUCCAUCAACAUUUGAAGCGGGAGCAGUCUUGUGGGAUCAAGCUCUUAACCUGUGGGGUCUGCUACUAACUCUGAAUCCAAUGAACACAUGGACCCAACACUCCUUUGGCCAAGUUGAUGAUUCUCCACCAUUUAUUUGCCUGCCUCACUAUACACUUCUAGCAAGCCACUGCAAGGCUGCAUUGCAGCUAAGAGGAAGCCCUCCUUGAAGGCUGCACAGCAAGGAGUGUUGGCAGAGUAGCUGGGUUUCCACUGGGAGAGCACGAGUCAGCAUCAUGCUGGGCUCAAGCAUGGAUAUGCACUGCUGCUGCCAGAGCAUCAUAAUUUGCAAGCAUUUAUCGAGUACCCUUCAUCUAAUUUUCAUCCUGCGGAAACUAGAAAUUGCUACACUUGCACACAAUAAACUUCUGGCAGUUAGCCUUCUAAACUGGGACACUACCAUUUGGGAGGGAAAAG